rnacentral:lncRNA from 10 species
GAGAAGAUAAGCUAUUAAUAUCUCAUUAUAUAACUUUUAUUUAUUUGAAAAACAUGUAAUACAAUGCCAGGGUACAAAGUUUGAUAAACACAAAAGGAUAUUUAGUAAAAAUCUCCCUCCCAUGCCUACCCACAUUGGAAUCCAGCUCUCCUUUCCAUAAGCAACCAGUGUGUAUAAUUUCAGAGAUUAUUUAUGCUCGUGGAAGCAAAUGCAUCUACAUACAGUUGAACCUUGAACAACACAGGUUUGAACUGCAUGGGUUCCCUUAUACACAGAUUGUCUUCCACCUCUGCCACUCCUGAGACAGCAAGACCAACCCCUCAGCCUACUCAACGCGAAGAUAAUGAGGAUGAAGACCUUUAUGAUCAUCUACUUCAUAUGAUCUAUCCACUUAAUGAAUAGUUAAAACAGGAUCCAAAACAAAGAGGAAAAAAUUUUAACAAUUCUACUGAAUCCAGAACAUCAAUGUUAAGGAGUGAAAUCUGAAUAAAGAACUCUAAGAAUACAGUCCAUUUUUAAAUUAGCACCAAAUGGGAAAUAAAAGAGAAAAGAUAUUACUCGUAACAGGUUCUGUUUGUAAAUGUUUUUAGAAUACUACCUUAGAUCCCAAAUAAGAAUCAAACAUGCCUGGGCCCUUAAAGAGAAUUGGUGGAUAGCCCCAACUAACAAAAAGACUUGCAAGAGUGUUCCAGCUUUUAGCUGGGAGCAUAAAAGGAAAAAA